rnacentral:rRNA from 1 species
GACGAACGCUGGCGGCGUGCUUAACACAUGCAAGUCGAACGAAGUGGCGAACGGGUGAGUAACGCGUAAUCAACCUGCCCUUCAGAGGGGGACAACAGUUGGAAACGACUGAUAAUACCGCAUACUGAAGGUGGGGAUUGCGUCUGAUUAGCUAGUGGGAUGGGGAACGGCCCACCAAGGCGAUGAUCAGUAGCCGGUCUGAGAGGAGGAACGGUCACAUUGGGAAUUAGACACGGCCCAGAAGCCUACGGGAGGCAGCAGGGGGGAAUCUUCCGCAAUGGACGAAAGUCUGACGGAGCAAAGCCGGGUGAGUGAUGACGGCCUUCGGGUUGUAAAGCUCUGUUUAUCGGGACGCGGUACCGGAAUAGAAAGCCACGGCUAACUACGUGCCAGCAGCCGCGGUAAUUC